CGUAAGUCAUUCAACAGUACCCGCCUCUUCCCCAAUUUUGAAAUCCCUAACACCAGUUUAUUUCAUUUCGAUUUUAUUGCAUCGCCUAGAUUCCUUUUCUUCCAAGUCGUCGCCGAGCUCUUUUGCCGUUGUCUCCUUUCCUUUCUUUUAGGUCUUCAGCGUCCAAAGGUCGGACUUGGAAUCGAAAAGCUUCAGAUGCUGUUAUUGUUCACAAAGGAAGCGGCUCUUCUUGUUGAAGGUUCGUUUUCUAAUCAUAAGAGUCUAGUGGAAGCAGUGAAAAAAGUUAUGUUGUAAUUUUCACAAUGUCUCGGGUUCAUUUCUGGAGCCACAACAUUUUGUUGCUGCUGAAGCUUGUGGAGGCGAUCAAAGAAGCUGGAAAUGUGUUUAAGGAUUGAUGCUUUUAUGAGAAGUGACUAGAAUCAUUGUGCUCGUAAACUUCUUUCCGUGUAUUUAGAAGCUUUUGUCUCUUCCUAAAUUUCCUAUACAUGUGAUCGGCUGCAUUGGUGGUUGUGAUGAAACACUUAGCUAGUUAAUAGAAAUCUAUGGACUGGUUCCCGCAUUCCAGGGCUAAAAAUAACAAUGCUGAAAUAGAUACUGAUGGUGAUGAUCAAAUUUAUGAACCCGCAACAAAGUCCCUUUUGCCUAAUGAUGCAUGAGCAACUUGGCUUCUUGUUCCAAUUUCAAUUCUGAACCAGCUUCAAGAUUGGCAAGUGAAACACUUGCAUGGCAGAGGUUGCAUGGAGCUUCAUUGUAGAGAGUUGGGGUGCUUUGCUUUUCCAAGAAAGAAAGCUAUUCAAAUGUGAGUAUCUAUUUGAAGUAAUGUUUUAUUUGAGAAUAAGCCAAGAUGAUUCCAGUAGUACAGACGUGGAUUCAAAUCCUUGCAUGAAUUUAUACUCCAUCAUUGUUUGAUAUUCGAAUAUUAUGUAACAAAGAGCAAUAAAUUGAUCAUUAACGUUAUUAGAAAUAAUAAA